CUAUCAUGCAAGUCGAGCGGACAGAAGGGAGCUUGCUCCCGGAUGUUAGCGGCGGACGGGUGAGUAACACGUGGGUAACCUGCCUGUAAGACUGGGAUAACUCCGGGAAACCGGAGCUAAUACCGGAUAGUUCCUUGAACCGCAUGGUUCAAGGAUGAAAGACGGUUUCGGCUGUCACUUACAGAUGGACCCGCGGCGCAUUAGCUAGUUGGUGAGGUAACGGCUCACCAAGGCGACGAUGCGUAGCCGACCUGAGAGGGUGAUCGGCCACACUGGGACUGAGACACGGCCCAGACUCCUACGGGAGGCAGCAGUAGGGAAUCUUCCGCAAUGGACGAAAGUCUGACGGAGCAACGCCGCGUGAGUGAUGAAGGUUUUCGGAUCGUAAAGCUCUGUUGUUAGGGAAGAACAAGUGCAAGAGUAACUGCUUGCACCUUGACGGUACCUAACCAGAAAGCCACGGCUAACUACGUGCCAGCAGCCGCGGUAAUACGUAGGUGGCAAGCGUUGUCCGGAAUUAUUGGGCGUAAAGGGCUCGCAGGCGGUUUCUUAAGUCUGAUGUGAAAGCCCCCGGCUCAACCGGGGAGGGUCAUUGGAAACUGGGAAACUUGAGUGCAGAAGAGGAGAGUGGAAUUCCACGUGUAGCGGUGAAAUGCGUAGAGAUGUGGAGGAACACCAGUGGCGAAGGCGACUCUCUGGUCUGUAACUGACGCUGAGGAGCGAAAGCGUGGGGAGCGAACAGGAUUAG
rnacentral:rRNA from 1 species